AUGCGCAGUUACCACAGCACUGGAAAGAUGGCAGAGGGAGAGGAAAGAAAAAAGAUCCCAUUGGUUCCAGAAAAUCUCCUGAAAAAGAGGAAGGCUUAUCAAGCCCUCAAAGCCGCCCAAGCAAAGCAAGCACUUUUGGAAAAGAAGGAGAGGAAAGGAAAAGAGUUCAGGUUGAGACGGCUGGAAUCAUUCCUACGUGAUUCCUGGCGACAGCAACGCGAUAAGGCGUCAGAAGUGAAGCCUCGUGCUUUGGCAGUGCCUGAUAAACGUUCCUUGGCCUUUGUUGUGCGCAUCCAAAGGACUGAAGGCGUCAGUUUACUGGCGAAGAGGACCAUUGCAAGACUUCGUCUGAAGAAAUUGUUUAGUGGUGUCUUUGUCAGAGUCACUCCCGGAAACAUGAAAGUGCUUUGUGUAUUGGAACCUUAUGUGACCUGGGGAUUUCCAAAUCUGAUCUGUCCGAGAACUGAUCUUGAAACGUGGACAAGCAAAGGUUAAGAGUAAGACCGUCCCUCUGACAGACAGCACUGUGAUUGAAGAGCACCUGGGGAAGUUUGGUGUCAUUUGCCUGGAAGACCUCAUUCAUGAAAUAGCCUUCCUGGGGAAGCAUUUCCAGGAGAUCUCUGGAUCCUUGCGUCCUUUCCACCUCUCUGUGGCCUGUCACGCUACCAAGAAUAGAGUGGGCUUCCUUAAGGGGAUGGGCUCACCUGGCUAUCGGGGUGAACGCAUCAAUCAGCUCAUCUGCCAGCUGAACUAG